GGAGUUCUUCCCGGCCUCAGGUCC
rnacentral:siRNA from 1 species